rnacentral:rRNA from 16 species
UACGGCGGCCAUAGCGGAGGGGAAACGCCCGGUCCCAUUCCGAACCCGGAAGCUAAGCCCUCCAGCGCCGAUGGUACUGCACCCGAGAGAGUGUGGGAGAGUAGGACGCCGCCGGAC